UCCUCGAUUUGCAUGCUCUCUCGCCGAUCAGACAGACGAGAGAGCAUGCAAAUCGAGGAAA
rnacentral:pre_miRNA from 1 species